rnacentral:rRNA from 1 species
ACCUGCGGAAGGAUCAUUAUUGAAAUAAAUCUGAUAAGUUGUUGCUGGCUCUCUAGGGAGCAUUGUGCAUACUUGUCGUUUUAUCAUUUCUUCACCUGUGCACCUCUUGUAGACUUUUGGAUAUCUUUCUGAUGCUUUUUUAAUGCACUCAGUUGUGAAGAUUGAUGGUUGUCUUUCUUUAUAUUUCCAAGUCUAUGUUCAUUAUAUUUUGACCCCGAUAUGUAUGGUGUAUAUGUAUAGGCAUAUGUAAAGCCUUUUUUAAAUACAACUUUCAGCAAUGGAUCUCUUGGCUCUCGCAUCGAUGAAGAACGCAGCGAAAUGCGAUAAGUAAUGUGAAUUGCAGAAUUCAGUGAAUCAUCGAAUCUUUGAACGCACCUUGCGCUCCUUGGUAUUCUGAGGAGCAUGCCUGUUUGAGUGUCAUUAAUAUAUCUCAACCUCACUUUGUUGAGUGCUUGGAUGUUGAGGGUUGCUGGGACUUGCAGGAUCCAGCUCCUUUAAAAUAUAUUAGAAGAACAAUUUGUGGACCUGUUCACUGGUGUGAUACAUUUAUCUGCACUAUUGAUGUGGUGAAACAAGUUCUAGUCUUUUGACAAAUUUUAUUAAUGUGACCUCAAAUCAGGUAGGACUACCCGCUGAACUUAAGCAUAUCAAUAAGCGGAGGAACAGAAACUAACAAGGAUUCCCCUAGUAACUGCGAGUGAAGCGGGAAAAGCUCAAAUUUAAAAUCUGGUAGUCUUUUGGCUGUCCGAGUUGUAAUCUA